AGGCCAGAACACUAGAGUGGGUAGCCUUUCUCUUCUCCAGGAGAUCUUCCCAACCCAGGGAUCGAACCCAGGUGUCCCGCAUUGCAGAUGUGUGACUACAGAUGCCACCAAAUCCUGCAGAUUCCGCCAUCAGGCUGUCACCUCAAAAGCAAAACGGCACCUCUCUAGAAGCACAGCUCCACAACAUCCUGGAGGACUGGGGCAGCUCUCUGAAGAGGCAAAGCAAACCGAGAGAUGAUGUCACUCUUCAGCUGGUGGGAACUGAGGACUGUGUGCUCAAGGUUUCUCUUCAAAUACCUCUGCUCUUCCUAACCAAAAUGCUCCCUUGUCACAGAAACAGAAAGAAUUCUCUCAGUUGAUCAAGACCACCGCUGCACAGUAGGAAAUCCUAAAGCAGUUCUCUGAGCUUGAGGAAGCACAGCAUCCUAGCCUCAUCCAAGCCACAACCAUGCCCUCUGAGGCCCCAGGACAACAGGGCAUUGUCUUCGCAACGUCUCAGUGGCAGAAGGACGGGCUUGAUACAAUGACGCUUCAAAGCCCGUAUGCUCCCAACUGUCCCAUUAUGGAUUUGUCAUCGUUUUAAGGUGACAAAAAAAACUCUAAAAUGACGUUUACAGUCCACUGCUCCCUUCCUAUAGAAGAACUGAAUGGGGACUUCCCUGGGGGCCCAGAGGUUGAGACGUCACCUUCCAAUGCAGCGGCUGCGGGGCUGAUCCCUGGUCCAGGGGAACUGGGGUCCUGCAUGCCUCCUGGCCAAAAAGCCAGAAGAGAAACAACAGGGGCAAUACUGCAACAAAUUCAGUCAAGACUUUAAAAAUGGUCCACAUCAGGGCCUCCCUGGUGGUCCAGUGGUUAAGAAUCCGCCUUGCAAUGCAGGGAACCCCAGCUUGAUCCCUGGUCUGGGAAGCUCCCUCAUGACCGGGGCAACUAAGCCCCUGUGUCACAACUGCUGAAGUCCGAACACAAGCCUGCCCUCGGCAGCAAGGGAAGCCGCUGCGAUGAGAAACCCACACGCCACAACUAGAGAAAGUCCUUGUGUAGCAAAGAGCGCCCAGUGUGGCCAAAAAUAAAUCAAUAAAAAAUAAAUACACAAUUUUAAAAAACAGCCCACAUCAAAAGAAGAAGAAUGAAACAGACAUAGUUUCUAAACAUGCAGAUAUAUUCAAGGUCAAGCUACGGCUAGUCAAAAUCCUGCAAAACAGCUAAACAAAUCUCAUCAUUGGCUGGGAGGCUGGGAACAUUCGAGUCCUCACUAAAGGGAUGGAUGAAAAGCCUGUCCCAGCUGCAAGUGAUCAUAAGCGACUUGAUCAUCAGCUGCCCGCUACAGCUGUAUGCACCGCUCAGCUCACCCAAAGAGAUUCACGCUCUCGUGGUGCCAAAAUAAAUG
ensembl:lncRNA